rnacentral:rRNA from 1 species
UACGGAGGUUGCAAUCGUUGUUCGGAAUAACUGGGCGUAAAGGGAGCGCAGGCGGCUUGGUAAGUCUAAAGUGAAAUCCCAGGGCUCAACUCUGGACGUGCUUUGGAUACUGCCUGGCUUGAGUACGUGAGAGGAGAUUGGAAUUCCAGGUGUAGCGGUGAAAUGCGUAGAUAUCUGGAGGAACACCGGUGGCGAAAGCGGAUCUCUGGCACGUUACUGACGCUGAGGCUCGAAAGCGUGGGGAGCAAACGGG